rnacentral:miRNA from 1 species
GCCAUCGGCAUCUGGCACUGAGUUUCCUGCAUGAAAACAGUGGCCAGCGGGUGCCUGGACCCACAACACCACCUCUGCAGUCACAGUGAAGUCUGCC